rnacentral:rRNA from 1 species
UACGAAGGGGGCUAGCGUUGCUCGGAAUCACUGGGCGUAAAGCGCACGUAGGCGGCUCUUUAAGUCGGGGGUGAAAUCCUGGAGCUCAACUCCAGAACUGCCUUCGAUACUGAAGAGCUCGAGUCCGGGAGAGGUGAGUGGAACUGCGAGUGUAGAGGUGAAAUUCGUAGAUAUUCGCAAGAACACCAGUGGCGAAGGCGGCUCACUGGCCCGGUACUGACGCUGAGGCGCGAAAGCGUGGGGAGCAAACAGG